rnacentral:rRNA from 1 species
GAUGAACGCUGGCGGCGUGCUUAACACAUGCAAGUCGAACGAUGAAGCCCAGCCUGCUGGGCGGAUUAGUGGCGAACGGGUGAGUAACACGUGAGUAACCUGCCCUUGACUCUGGGAUAAGCCCGGGAAACUGGGUCUAAUACCGGAUAGGAGCGCCUGUCGCAUGACGGGUGCUGGAAAGAUUUUUCGGUCAUGGAUGGACUCGCGGCCUAUCAGCUUGUUGGUGAGGUAACGGCUCACCAAGGCGACGACGGGUAGCCGGCCUGAGAGGGUGACCGGCCACACUGGGACUGAGACACGGCCCAGACUCCUACGGGAGGCAGCAGUGGGGAAUAUUGCACAAUGGGCGGAA